CACCAGCCCCUCGAGUGGUGGGGAUGAUUAUUUGGCCUAAAGCGUCCGUAGCCGGCCAGGUAAGUUUCCCGUUAAAUCCAACGUCUCAAGCGUUGGGCUGCGGGAAACACUGUCUGGCUAGAGAGUGGGAGAGGUCUGCGGUAUUCUGGGGGUAGGGGCGAAAUCCUUUGAUCCCCGGAGGACUACCAGUGGCGAAGGCUGCAGACUAGAACACGUCUGACGGUCAGGGACGAAAGCUGGGGUAGCGAACCGGAUUAGAUACCCGGGUAGUCCCAGCCGUAAACGAUGCAUGCUAGGUGUUGGGUUGGCCACGAGCCACCCCAGUGCCGCAGGGAAGCCGUUAAGCAUGCCGCCUGGGAAGUACGAUCGCAAGAUUGAAACUUAAAGGAAUUGGCGGGGAGCACCACCAGGCGUGAAGCCUGCGGUUU
rnacentral:rRNA from 1 species